rnacentral:rRNA from 1 species
UACGUAGGGUGCAAGCGUUAAUCGGAAUUACUGGGCGUAAAGCGUGCGCAGGCGGUUUUGUAAGUCUGUGGUGAAAUCCCCGGGCUCAACCUGGGAAUUGCGAUGGAGACUGCAAGGCUAGAAUCUGGCAGAGGGGGGUAGAAUUCCACGUGUAGCAGUGAAAUGCGUAGAGAUGUGGAGGAACACCGAUGGCGAAGGCAGCCCCCUGGGUCAAGAUUGACGCUCAUGCACGAAAGCGUGGGGAGCAAACAGG